rnacentral:rRNA from 1 species
AUUGAACGCUAGCGGGAUGCCUUACACAUGCAAGUCGAACGGCAGCACGGACUUCGGUCUGGUGGCGAGUGGCGAACUGGUGAGUAAUGUAUCGGAACGUGCCCAGUAGCGGGGGAUAACUACUCGAAAGAGUAGCUAAUACCGCAUACGCCCUACGGGGGCAAGGGGGGGAUCGCAAGACCUCUCACUAUUGGAGCGGGCGAUAACGGGUUAGGUAGUCGGUGGGGUAAAGGCCCGCCAAGGCGACGAUGCUUCGCUGCUUCGAGAGGACGACCCGCCACGAUGGGACAGAGACACGGCCCGGGCUGCUACGAGAGGCAGCAGUGGGGAGUUUUUGAGAGUGGGGGCAACCCGGAUGCAGCGCUACCGAGUGUGCGAUGAAGGCCUUCGGGUUGUAAAUUGAUGGUGGGAGGAAAGAAAGCGCACAGGCUAAGACGUCGAGUGGAUGACGGUACCUGCAGAAUAAGCACCGGCUAACUACGUGCCAGCCGCCGCAGUAA